GAGACACCCUUAUGGAGCAGGACUUGCUUCAGUGGGACUUUGGUGUUCACUGAGUCUGCCCCAUGAGUGUGUCACU
rnacentral:pre_miRNA from 1 species